UCAGAGAAGAGACCCAGUAUUCUUGUUCCUUUAGCAAUAGCUGAGAAAGUGAGAAAUAUUUAUGAAUGAAUUGGUCUUGCUGUUCCAGUAGUUUCAGAGGGGAAUGUAGUUCAUUAAUAAACUUAAUAUUUGUAAUUGUUGGUAAAUUACUGUGGUAUAACAGGAAAGAAACACUCCAGAACAGGAAGUAAUUGGAAAAUAAUCUACUUUGGGAUGGUAAGAGUAAACCUGCUUCUCAUUGGGCCACAUCAUACCACCCUGUUGUUCAUUAAUUUCCUAUAACAGCACACCCCCAAGUGUUUUAUCUCUGAAUUAAGCUGUCAUUUCUGUUUCCCUCUGAAUCUUUAGUGCUGGCUGGACUCAUCCACUGUACACAAUCAGAGAGUCCUAAACCUGAGGUGAUUAUAAAGCCUGAUACACAGGUGUUCAGAGGAGAGAGAGUGACUUUCAGGUGUGACAUACAGGGAGGAGGAGAUACUGAGUGGACAUACGACUGGUAUAGGGACGAUAACAUAUUCUACCCAUCCCUCACAACACAGGAGUUCAGCACCAGUGAUUAUUACAGUGGUAAAUACACCUGCAGAGGGAGGAGGAGAAGUGACUCUCAGAUCUCAAAGAUGAGUGAUCCUGUUACACUCACUGUAUCAGUCAAGCUGAUUCUACUGCCAAAGUUUCACUGCUGUGAAAUCAAUUCCCCUGUCUCCUGGAACCAGAAACACCAACACACUCAGUGUAACA